AAAACACAAAAAAAAACUAAGCCCUAAACCUAUAAAACCUUAAAAAACCUAAACCUAAACAACUUAAAGCCCUAAAUCCUAAAAACCUAGCUAAAUCCAUUAACCUAAAACACUAUACCUAAAAAGCCCUAAACCUUAAUCCCAAACCCAAAACCCUGAAUCCUAAACCUAAAACCGUAAGAAACCCUAAACCCUAAACCUUAAGAAACCCUAAAUCCAAUAAACCCUAAAAUAAACCCUAAAAACCAUUAAAGACCCCUAC
rnacentral:lncRNA from 1 species